AAUCGUAUUUUGACGAUUCGGCUUUAUUAAAAAGUGGUUCUUAAGGAGCCCAGCAGAAAGGAGUAGUACACAAUGGCAGAAGGAACAGUAAAAUGGUUUAACGAUGCAAAAGGUUUUGGAUUUAUUGAAGAAGAUGGUGGCAAUGACGUCUUUGUUCAUCACUCAGCGAUUCAGGGUGACGGUUUCAAAUCCCUCGAUGAAGGUGGACGUGUAACUUUCGAUGUUGUUGACGGUCCAAAAGGUCCAGCUGCAGAGAAUGUUGUCAAGCUGUAAUAGCUGAUUUUGACUACAAAAAAGGCCCCGCAUUUUGCGGGGCCUUUUUU
rnacentral:sRNA from 1 species